GUCAAUAACCAUGGCUCACAUUAUAAAAAAAAUCUGCUGGCACACGUGCUAAAAAAACCAGCUGAGAAAUUUUUGGCUAUAUCAAGAGGAUUUUAGCUCACAAAAAUUACUUUUAAGAAUAAAAACACGCUAAAUCAGCUCUGUACAAACAUGAACAAUAAACAAAACAUAAUUGAGCUAUUUCAACCUUUGUCAGCCGCAGUGACGCCAGUGCCUGAGCCGACUGUGAAUUUGUAAAACAGUUUGAUACUGUAGACCUACUGGAAACUGGAAUUUACAGUAGUCUGCCGUUCCGUGCAAAAAUCAGCAGACUGGUUUAAACUUACAACAGAGAUUAUUUGGAUACGCUUAAACUCAAAUCCGAAUACAAACACAUUCUUGACAUAAUAUGUUAAGAUCCGUCGCAACAACAGAAAUGGUACUAAUUCGUAUUUAUCAGUCAAUAUCUGUGAAGAUUUUUAUGAAGACUUUUUUAGAUGAAGUUAAAAAGACCAUUACUAAAUUUUAAAUUCUCCUAAAGAAUCAUACAGCAAUAAAAAUUACCUUUAAAUUAGGCACAGACGGAUUAAUUGUUUUGCAGAAACAAAAUGUCGCCGUAAAGUAUCCCUGCAAUACAUACUCAAGGAUUUUACAUGUCGAAUAUCGAAUGUGAGUACGAAGACGAUAUAAUUGCGUCGCAUCCAGUAAAAGAUUUCGAAUGUUUAAAAUUUUUAACUAGUAAAAGUUCACAAAUAAACAAU
rnacentral:misc_RNA from 1 species